GAUGAACGCUGGCGGCGUGCCUAAUACAUGCAAGUCGAGCGAACAGAUGAGGAGCUUGCUCCUCUGACGUUAGCGGCGGACGGGUGAGUAACACGUGGAUAACCUACCUAUAAGACUGGGAUAACUUCGGGAAACCGGAGCUAAUACCGGAUAAUAUAUUGAACCGCAUGGUUCAAUAGUGAAAGACGGUUUUGCUGUCACUUAUAGAUGGAUCCGCGCCGCAUUAGCUAGUUGGUAAGGUAACGGCUUACCAAGGCAACGAUGCGUAGCCGACCUGAGAGGGUGAUCGGCCACACUGGAACUGAGACACGGUCCAGACUCCUACGGGAGGCAGCAGUAGGGAAUCUUCCGCAAUGGGCGAAAGCUUGACGGAGCAACGCCGCGUGAGUGAUGAAGGUCUUCGGAUCGUAAAACUCUGUUAUUAGGGAAGAACAAAUGUGUAAGUAACUAUGCACGUCUUGGCGGUACCUAAUCAGAAAGCCACGGCUAACUACGUG
rnacentral:rRNA from 1 species